rnacentral:rRNA from 1 species
UGGGGAAUCUUGGACAAUGGGCGAAAGCCUGAUGGAGCAACGCCGCGUGUGUGAUGAAGGGUUUCGGCUCGUAAAACACUGUUGUAAGAGAAGAAUGACAUUGAGAGUAACUGUUCAAUGUGUGACGGUAUCUUACCAGAAAGGAACGGCUAAAUACGCGCCAG